rnacentral:rRNA from 1 species
GACGAACGCUGGCGGCGUGCUUAACACAUGCAAGUCGAACGGAAAGGCCCUGCUUUUGUGGGGUGCUCGAGUGGCGAACGGGUGAGUAACACGUGAGUAACCUGCCCUUGACUUUGGGAUAACUUCAGGAAACUGGGGCUAAUACCGGAUAGGAGCUCCUGCUGCAUGGUGGGGGUUGGAAAGUUUCGGCGGUUGGGGCUGGACUCGCGGCUUAUCAGCUUGUUGGUGGGGUAGUGGCUUACCAAGGCUUUGACGGGUAGCCGGCCUGAGAGGGUGACCGGCCACCUGGGGACUGAGAUACGGCGCAGACUCCUACGGGAGGCAGCGGUGGGGAAUAUUGCACAGUGGGCGGGAGCCUGAUGCAGCAACGCCGCGUGCGGGAUGACGGCCUUCGGGUUGUAAACCGCUUUCGCCUGUGACGAAGCGUGAGUGACGGUAAUGGGUAAAGAAGCACCGGCUAACUACGUG